rnacentral:rRNA from 1 species
AUUGAACGCUGGCGGCAGGCUUAACACAUGCAAGUCGAGCGGGGUGAUGGUGCUUGCACUAUCACUUAGCGGCGGACGGGUGAGUAAUGCUUAGGAAUCUGCCUAUUAGUGGGGGACAACAUCUCGAAAGGGAUGCUAAUACCGCAUACGUCCUACGGGAGAAAGCAGGGGAUCACUUGUGACCUUGCGCUAAUAGAUGAGCCUAAGUCGGAUUAGCUAGUUGGUGGGGUAAAGGCCUACCAAGGCGACGAUCUGUAGCGGGUCUGAGAGGAUGAUCCCCCACACUGGGACUGGGACACGGCCCCGACUCCUACGGGAGGCAGCAGUGGGGAAUAUUGGACAAUGGGGGGAACCCUGAUCCAGCCAUGCCGCGUGUGUGAAGAAGGCCUUAUGGUUGUAAAGCACUUUAAGCGAGGAGGAGGCUCUUUUGGUUAAUACCCAAGAUGAGUGGACGUUACUCGCAGAAUAAGCACCGGCUAACUCUGUGCCAGCCGCCGCCGUAA